AUUGAACGCUGGCGGCAGGCCUAACACAUGCAAGUCGAACGGUAACAGGAAGAAGCUUGCUUCUUUGCUGACGAGUGGCGGACGGGUGAGUAAUGUCUGGGAAACUGCCUGAUGGAGGGGGAUAACUACUGGAAACGGUAGCUAAUACCGCAUAACGUCGCAAGACCAAAGAGGGGGACCUUCGGGCCUCUUGCCAUCGGAUGUGCCCAGAUGGGAUUAGCUAGUAGGUGGGGUAACGGCUCACCUAGGCGACGAUCCCUAGCUGGUCUGAGAGGAUGACCAGCCACACUGGAACUGAGACACGGUCCAGACUCCUACGGGAGGCAGCAGUGGGGAAUAUUGCACAAUGGGCGCAAGCCUGAUGCAGCCAUGCCGCGUGUAUGAAGAAGGCCUUCGGGUUGUAAAGUACUUUCAGCGGGGAGGAAGGGAGUAAAGUAAUACCUUUGCUCAUUGACGUUACCCGCAGAAGAAGCACCGGCUAACUCCGUG
rnacentral:rRNA from 1 species